AGUGGCUCUAAUAUUUUUGGAUUUUCGAUCUCAGAAAAAAGUGUAAUUGAGCAGUGUAAUUACAAAGUGCAAUAAGUCAAAAGAGAUUAGAAAAACAGAUGGAAUACUCAGAUAUAAAGUGUUGUUAGUAGAUUAAAAAGUAUUUUAGGCGUUUGAAUAAAAUAGUUUGAAUAAAAUAGACAAAAAGAGAAGAAAUAUAUUUUCAAAGAAGUUAAAGGAAAGAAAAAAAUGGACGACAAGUUUUAGAUUAGUUAUAUGUUGAUGCUUCUACUAUUGGUUUGCUUUAUAUUUCGGUGUUGAUUAUUAAACUGGAUUACAUGCAUGUUGUGUUUUAAGAUAAGGUUGAAGGACUAGAGUGAAUGCAGACUUGAACUGAAAGGUUUUUACACAUUUCGGAAGAUACGUUUAUCUGAGACAAAUUUUCUUCUUGUAUUAUAAGUCACAUUUUGCCGGAGAAGUGCUACUUGACUACUUCUACUCGGUUUCUUGCCAUAUGUAAUAUCAGCAGGAAACACCGCUCUAAAAUGUAUUCUCACCCAAGAAAUAUGCAUACGGAAUAUUUUCUUUGGAGUAAAACAGGCGUUUGGUCAAAGCUUUACUCUUCUGUGAGACAUCAUACUCUCGAUCGUAAAAAAGUAAAACAGAUUCAAUCAUACCUGUUCGAUUUCAUUUUCUACAUACAUUACAUCGCCAUUGUGCUAUAUAAAUUGCAUGCUAUCCAAAGCAUGCCGAAAUAGCCGGAAACAUGUCAUAGGAACCGGAAACACGUCAUCUCAUAAACAUUACCUAUUGAUAUUAGUGAACGUUCUAGUAAAAAAUCAUGACAACAGAUUUCACAUCUUUUUGUUGAUUAUCAUUUUUAUUAGCUAUGCCUCAUUCUCAUAAAAAAACUUCUGCCAUAAAUUGUGCAUGUAUAACAGUUCUAAAUAUUUGAAGAUCGUGUCCGGAUGUAGGCAUGUGGGAUGUUACCGGUAUUUGUUUGUUUGUAACAGGUUUCAGAAGAUUUUUUUGCCCCUGUGCAAUGAAAUGGUACAGAAGAUCUGUCAGUUUCUGAUUGACGAAAUGUUGCUACUUUACUACCAUAUAAUACAGUAACUUUAGCAUUGACCAAAUAUCACAUAAUGGAAGUACAUGAUGAUGAUGAUGAUCACGACGAUGACGAUGACUAUGAUGAUGAUAACGAUGAUGAUGCAAUUUAUUGAAAGCCAAAUUUUCCGGAUCGUAACCUUUGCUGCCACAUUUAAACAGUUUUUAAAGACUUUGUUUUCAAUCAUAUACAUGUACACGAAAACGUAAUGGUCUUCUGAUUUUUCUAUAUAAUGAAGCAUGGCUGUUACAGGGGUUUAACAUGUUAUAGACUCUAAGUCAUUUUGUUACGUUUGUUUAUAUGUUCUUGUUUCUGCAGACAUGUACAUUGAUUAAGGAUCGACCAAAAAAGGCUCAUUUCUUGUUUCUUGUCUGUUACUUUGUCUUGUGUACAUACUGGUGUAAAUGGCAGCUAGACUGUGUAGUAAGUUAUAAGACUGAUUGUUUUCUUACACAUAUGUAAUAUGCAAAUGACAUAAAUCGAUAUAUUCUUCGGUUUGACUUUAUUUGUGUCAUACAUAUAUGUAGUUGAUGAAUGUAAUGUUACCAUAUAUUACUUGUAAAGGAAUUUUUGAAUUGUGUUUAUAUUUAGACUAUUUUUACAAAAUGUCGUUCGCUUAAUUUCUAAGGACUAUUCUUUGGGCAAAUUACUUCCCGCCGUGUAUACGCUUAUGGUAAACUUUGUAAUUUCAUAUGGUACUAUAUCUUUUUUUUAUAUAUGAUUCAAAACAUGAUUCUACCGAGAGUUCUGUAUGUUGUGUCCUGUAAGUUAGAAAUAAAUUUAGAAUGAUUUUUUUUUCACUGAUUACUGUGUUAAUAAAUAAUAUUAUAAAACAUCUAAACAUACCUUCAUAUGCAAUAUGAUGUUGUGAUGACGUAGCUAACUUGAACGACACCAAUAAAACGAUUAAAGAUGGCUGGCUAAAGUCAUUAAAAUAAAAUUAAUAUUAAAAAACAAUUUAUAGAGUUUUACAAUUUACAAUAGAAAGAUCUGUGAUUCAGAUAGGAAUAAAGACAAAGAAAGUAAACCGGCGAUGAUCACGUGUGAAUUUACAACAGACAUUACUUAAGAUUACUGAACAAAUGAAAAUUAGAAUAAUUGUAGUACUGUUGUUCAUUAAGACUUUUUUUUAUUAAUUUCUUACUAUUCUUUACGCGGUAAAAUCAAGAUGUCAAUUUCUUCAUAGUCUGCAGCGAGAAAAAAAAAGGUUUAACGAGUUGAACAAGCUCAUUUUCAGCCUCAAACAAACCGAAUCUGCAGCAUGUUCAAUUCUCUUUUGAACUAUCAUUAGGGAGUCUUUUUUCUCUUUCUAUUUUACAUACCCGUACUCGGAUGCUUUUGAAAUGUCAUUUUUUUUCUUCUUCUUCAUCUCUUCAUUUCGCUCUGAAGAUAUGUGCGAUUUGAUUGAAAUAUUCUAUGAAAUAUUAAAACUGUUGAGUGUAAUGUUAUAAUUAUCAGCGUUAGUUUACCUUUUACUGUUUGAAUUUUAACGUAUGUUAAAUAUUUGAAAAUAUUGUUGUAAUGUUUCAUUCGCCUUUUAUAACAGUUUUACGUUAUGCUUACAUUUGUAUAUGUAUGUAUUUUAGAUUUGCAUAUAUUCAUUGUAAUAAAUCUCAUUGUAAAUGA